UACGUAGGGGGCAAGCGUUGUCCGGAUUCAUUGGGCGUAAAGAGCGUGUAGGCGGCCAGGUAGGUCGGUUGUGAAAACUGGAGGCUCAACCUUCAGAGGUCGGCCGAAACCAUCUGGCUAGAGUCCGGGAGAGGAGAGUGGAAUUCCUGGUGUAGCGGUGAAAUGCGCAGAUAUCAGGAAGAACACCCGUGGCGAAAGCGGCUCUCUGGAACGGUACUGACGCUGAGACGCGAAAGCGUGGGGAGCGAACAGG
rnacentral:rRNA from 1 species